UCUGGAUGAUCAUGGUAAUUACUGUAAUUAAGCAUGCUCGAGGAGGUGGGGACACUUAUUAUGCAUGCUUGGGUGGGCGGAGACAAAAAAGUGGGUGGUUCUGCAGGAGGAGAGGCGGAGUUCUGUGUGGGAGGGGCCGUCCAGAGCUUGGCUCAUUCUUCUGCUCAGUUUGGAGAAAGCAGAGAGAGAGAGAGAGAGAGAGAGAGAGAGCGAGCGAGCGACGACAGCAGGAUAUCUGAGAUCCGCCAGCGCAGAGCUCCAUGUGUGGAUUCUGUACCUUUUCAUGAGGGGAAACACCCUCGACAACAGGAGUCUGUACACUGAGAGAAGAGUACAGCACAGUACAGAAAGGUGUUGUGAUGCAGAUCAGGGACUUGUUUGUGAUGUUCUGUCAUGCUGAGACCUUCAAAGGGCUUUGACCUUCAUCAUGUGGAAGACUAACAUUGUUAACCCCCCCAUCUAUAAGGUCAGCAGGGUGGGCUGAGUGGGUGCUUGAGCCAAGCUGUAUUCCCUGGAGCAUAGUGAGUAGUGGACUUCUCUUAUAAGUGGACACUUUUGCACUCUAAUCUCUGAUGGAUGGUUCUGAGACUGCAGCACAUUUUUGACACAGACCACUGAAACAGCAGUCGGUUAAAGUGAAGCUACUGACCAUCUCCUAUCAAUGUUUAGACAUUUCAGAUACAACAUUUAGUCAUUUUAAAUGCAGAAAAAUAUUUUGUCAAAAUUACUUUCGGAUGAUUUAAAACAGCAGGUUAUUGAUAUGUUGAAAUAAUCCUAAUUUAAAUGGGAGUUUAGUCAACUCAAUAACGUUUAAAACUCAUUAGGACCCG
rnacentral:lncRNA from 1 species